ensembl:snRNA U6 U6 spliceosomal RNA
GUGGUCACUUCAACAGCACAUAUACUAAAAUUGGAAUGAUACAGAGAAGAUUAGCAUGGCCCCUGCACAGAAAAUACUCACAAAUAUUCUU